rnacentral:piRNA from 1 species
UGCUCUAUUACAUUCAUAUGUCAGUCUGCA